GCUUACCUUGCUUACCUAGCUCAUUAAUUUUAAAUUUUGAGGUAACCUUUUAUGCAAUGGGCCUAUUGACCAACGAAAUUUACAAUUUUGUAACUCAAGUUCUUUAAAAUCUUAGUGUUUAGAGUCAAUUUUUGUUAAUUUUGUUAGUCAAAAAUUUUGUGUAGUUGUCCUUGAAAGAUUGGAUACUUCAAAGUUAUUUAGGAAGCGUCUCUUGUUUCUUAAUAUUUCUAAGUGAAUUUGUCUUUUUUUCAUUUCAGUGCGUGAAGGUUGCCAUAAAGGACAAACAAGUGAAAUACUUUAUACAUUACAGUGGUUGGAAUAAAAAGUGAGUAUUAGAUUUUUAAAAGCAAUUUUUGUGAUGUCUUAAUGUAAUAUAGUAUGUUUUGAAGCAAGGGUAAGCCAUUUGUAAUAUGAAGAAACUAUUAGAAAUGAGAGUUACUAGGCCUUUCAUUUCAUUUGUUUAUUUGCAGUACUGGAGGAUUAAACCCAGGAACAUGCUAGUUCUGACCUACAUCCCAGCCCUUUUUGUUUUGAGACAGGGUCUUGAUAAAUGUCAAGGCUGGCCUUGACCUUGAUCAUCCUCCCAUCUUAGCCUCAUUAGCUGAGAUUAUAGGUGUGCACUGGUAACCAUUUUAUUUUAUAAUGUAUGUGAGUUUUGGAAGAAUGUCUUAGAUUCUAGUGUGGUGUCAAAUAGUGGUUGAAUGAUGAGUGGAAGCAGCCCAUUUUUUUUACAGUUUGGUACAUUUUGGGGUACCUUUUUUGGCCUUAGCAUCAACCCAAUGACUAUAUGUAUAUUUCAAGCAGUUAGACUCCGAACUAGUUGGGUUUUUCUGUGUGAAAAAGGAAAUAGUAUAAAAGUUGGUUUGAAAAUGUGACAGAAUUGAUCAACCCAUUUUUGUGAGGUUUAGAAAUAUCGUGAGGCCCACAAAUAAUUUCAUCUUAAUAAAUUUAUUUGGGCCUUUUGUAAUUUUUACUAUGAGAGGUUUUUAAUUACUUUUAUUAAUGAUGUUCUUUGCUUCAAAAAUAACAUAACUAACCAGGAACUAGUUAUUUAGGAAUUGUUUCUAGUAACUUAAUGCUUUGCGUCAUCUGACCCAGGCAUGGUGCUGUUGCUUUGGAAAAUUUCUACUGAAUUUAUUGGCACAUUGACUUUGAUCUUUUAUACAGUCUUCUCUCCAGGUGACCAACCCAGCACCCUUCCCCACCACAAAGCUAUACCUGUUGCUUAUUUAAAUUUUUAUGUUUAUUUUUUUAAAAAGCAUGGAAUAUGGGCAGGGAUUGUGGCUCAGCAGUAGAGCACUCGUGUAGCGCGGGUGGGACCCAGGUUCGAUCCUCAGCACCACAUAAAAAUAAAGGCAUUGUGUUGUGUCCAUCCACACCUAAAAUAAAUAAAUAAAUAAAUAAAUAUUUUUUAAAAAACAUGGAAUGCUUCACAAAUUUGUGUAUCAUUCUUGGGCAGGGGUCAUGUUAACUUCCUAUAUUCUAGUUUUUUUUAGUAUAUGUGCUGCAGGAGCAAACACUUAAAUAUUUUGAAAUGGAGUCUUCCUAAGUUGCUGAGGCUGAUGUUGACUUUUGGGUUCUCUUGCCUCAGCCUCCUGAGUCACUGGAAUCAUAGGCAUGUAUCACUGUGCCCAGC
rnacentral:lncRNA from 1 species